AUGGCCUGCCCGCAGUGCCCGGCCCCUGGGUCCUACACCUCGGUCAUUAUCCCUCUCCGGAGCAGCCUCUACAGCCUUGACGCCCUACGCUUCUACCUAUGGAUAAAGAGGCUGAAGGACUUGGAAAGGGAGAAGGAUUCUCUGUGGGCCGGGCUGCAGGUUCUGGAGCAAGCCCGGAUCUGGUACCGACGCAUACUGGAGGACAACAGAGCCAGGCAGGCUAACAUGUGCACCAGGGCUGGGGCUAGGGCAAAGGAGUGGGGAGGAGAGGUUUGGGGAAGAGCGGGGGCGUCAUCGUGCCUCCUGAGGUCUCAGAUCCAGAGGGUGAAUGGAUCUUUGGGUAGUCUGAUGAGUAUGCCCAACGUAACCAGCUGUCCCUCCUCUCCAAAGAGGGACGGGGUGGAAGUAUCAGACAGUGAGCUACGGUGGCAGAACACGGUACUGGUACAGGAGGUGAGUGAGAAGAAUGUUCAAAUAUCCCUGUUGGAGCGGGAGAGAGACAGCCUUUUGCAAGAGCUGAGUCUGCGUCUGGGUGUAGAAGUGUAGUGGGCAUCCUGACUGAGUUGUUUGUACACUGCUAUCAAGCCCGUUUCACUGCUAUCACACAUGAACACACACGUGACUAAACACUGCCUCAUAACUCUUCAGCUAAAGUUCUUCAAUGUCAUGAUUUCAUUGUCUCUCACCACUGUAAAUAUGUUUGAAAAAGAAUCAUUCAAUAUACUGAAUGUACAAAGACUAUGAGUGUGUUAUUGUCUCUUUGUCUUGUUCAGUCCUGUGGAAUGGUUUGCUGAAUAACCAGACUGACAUGUCGGAUCAUCACCUCAGGCUCGGGUCCUCACCUUCCAAACUGAUAUGCAAAUGCUAAGUGGUCUUAGCCUAAUUAUGUAGGUCGUCUAUUGUACAUGUACCACCUGUGAAACACAGAGCAACACCAAAUAUCCCCAGAAGGGGGCAGUAGACCCUCAGCUAUGCAUAUGCUGCAGUUCAAAAUCUACAAUCAAAACAUAAGCAGAGAGACAAACUAUAAUAUUUCAAUGAUUGUCCAGUUAUAUGAUUUUUUUUUUAAAGAGAUUGAAAAGGCCAUCUGUAUCUCCAAGAACACUGCAAUCUGAUACACCAACUGCAAUCUGAUACACCAGAUUUGUCUCUGAGCAGUAGCCAGUACCCAGCCAGCACCCUAUACCCUCCUCUCUGUCACCGUUCAUCACAGUUCACGUUUCCGCCACAAGCCUGUGAGGUUUCUGUCGAUACACGUUACCGCUCCUCCACCGGUGGUCCCGCACUGAUGUUGCCUCAGCUGAUAAGACUUAUCUAGCCUCUCUAUCACUGACACAUGGCUGGCACACACACACACACACACACACACACACACACACACACACACACACACACACACACACACACACACACACACACACACACACACAUACACACACACACACACACACACACACACACCUCAUGAGGAUAAACACACUUAGGCAGCCAUGCCCUGCAGUCCAUCUAUUUGCACAAACACUAUCAGACUAAAUAUCAUUACCCUUCUGGCUUUUAUGGGCUAUCAUGAACAGUAGCUUUGGGAAUGUUGCUUUGGGAAUACUAGUGCAGUCUACUAUAUGGCAGCAGCCUUAUUUAUCUAACGUUCUAGUACUUCCUUGCUAUGUUUUCUUCCUACUCCUGUUUUCAUUGUUCUCGCUAUCUUCUGGAGAUGUGGACCUGUAAUCUUGUUGUGGGUGAUCUUCAUCAAAUAGGGAGAAUGGCGGUGUCAUUGUCCCCCAGAGAGUGUUUAUGCUUUACCGAUACUGGCCUUGUGUCUCUGCUCAUUUGUUUGGCCCAGAGAAGUAAUGUUGAUGUUGUUUGUCUGUGUUUGGAAUUAUACAUAUCCCACCAAAGAUGUAUAGUUACCCCACAAAGAGAGCGAGAGAAGCAGGGCACUGGGAUGGACAUACCCACGCACUGCACAUUUCCCAAGGUACGUAUAAUGUGCUGCCAUCGGCCAAAGUUUUCAGAUUACGACGACUGCCUGAAACUCACAUUUGAAAAGCACCUAUUGGACUGAGAGAGGAGGCUUGCUCAGUCAGCUUGGACAUUAAAGUUGAAUGCUGCUGAAUUGUCACACCAACACAUCAAAUACGGUAUGUUGCACAAAGGUCUACAUUUCUUUGGCCAAACGAUACUGAUAAAAUUUGUUUUGCAUUGGAUUGCAUUCAUAAAUACAACCACAUCCAAACCUUUUGUGACAACGAGAGAAAAAUAAAUUGCACAUCUCUGGGCAACCAAGGAAUGUGUUUGACUGUGAUUAAAAUCUCUGUGAAAAAAAAGAAAACAUCCGUUACGGAACGUGCUUUCGUAUAAGUAGCUCCUGUUCCCUCUCUACAGGACUGCCAGUGAACCAUCAAGGCCCUGGGUACCAGCACUCUGCUAAUUAUUGGUUCUAAUUCCCACCGCAGAGCCAAACAACCUUUUAUUGAGGAUGUCACGCUUCUAUGACACUGACAAUCAUUCUUCCUUUGCCAGCAUGGUUCAGUGACUAUCAACACUGCUGGUCUCCCACUUAAUCUAUCCUGUACCUGUUAUGAUUUAUUUUCUUAUUCUGUGUGUUUUCCUAGAGAUGUAUUGAUUUUAAUCUAUGGCUUUCCUCUUAAGGAGAAUAAGGAUAUACGUGCACCUACUUCCCUGCAGGUCUGUAGAGGUGUGAAAUAUAAACAGAUAAGUAGUUGGAUGGCUUUCUCUCAGGUGCUGAAGGUUUUUAAUGCAUUCCUGAGACUAUUAGGAUGGAGAACUUCCUGCACACCCUCAGAUGGCACCCUCAGAUGGUUACUAGCUUUGAAGUCCUCCGGAAGUCUAAUAUACUUCACAGGGGGUCUAAAUGAAUCUAUAACAACUCCAAGAUGUUUUUAUCUCCAAGAUGUAUUGCAGUAAAACUGUAGUGUUGCGUUUGCAUCAACAAAGUCCUGUGUAUUUUCUUUUCUUGGCUGCCUGGUAAUAUCAGAUAAUGGAUGUGUUUGUUUGUGACAACUGGAUAAUGGUGUCCAUUUCAUUAACAAAAUGAUACUGAAAGUACUGUACAUCCUAUUUUAAUACUUGUUGUAAUAUGGUGUCCCAAAAGGGCACCAACACAGAAAAUAAGUGUCACAUUUCAUACCUGCCAAAGAUUAUGCUAAAACUAAUUAAAAAGUGUCAAUCAUCCACACAUAAUAAAGUGUGAUAGAUGUUAACCUAUUAGUCAGAGUGUAUUGUGUAAACAGACAUGAGAUACACACUUCCAAUGUAUAUAUCACUCCAGGCUCUCCUGUCCUCAAGGCAUUGAUGUUCAGGCCUACUCUCCCCUGGACUGAGUUCAAAUGCUGAGAGGAUGGAUGAAUCAAAUCAACUUGCUUUCAGUCCAUCACAUCAGUGUCAAAUAGCUAAGGAUGAAACAUUAUUAAUUCUCUCAACCAAAAAAGUUUGGAGAUUUUUUUCUCCAAUCAUUUUACUGGCACACUGACACAAUGGAACGUGUCAAAAGGAAUGUAGACCUACACAAUUAUAUCUCUAGUGACCUGUUUUCGACCUGGGAGUGAUGAGAUGACACUGUAUAUUUACAUUUUAGUCAUUUAGCAGACGCUCUUAUCCAGAGCAACUUACAGUAGUGAAUGCAUACAUUUCAUACAUUUUUUUUUUUCCUGUGCUGGCCCCCCGUGGGAAUCGAACCCACAACCCUGGUGUUGCAAACACCAUGCUCUACCAACUGAGCUACAGGGAAGGCUGUAUAUGUGCAAUGCAUUGCAAACCACGUACUGUCUACGCCUCACACUGGUUUAGACGGCGGCAGGGUAGCCUAGUGGUUAGAGCGUUGGGCUAGUAACCGAAAGGUUGCAAGUUUGAAUCCCCGAGCUGACAAGGUCAAAAUCUGUCGUUCUGCCCACUAUUCCCCGGGCGCCGUGGAUGUCGAUUAUGGCAGCCCCCCGCACCUCUCUGAUUCAGAGGGGUUGGGUUAAAUGCGGUUGAAUGCAUUAAGUUGUACAACUGACUAAUAAGUCCCCUUAUCAAACAACAAUACCUCAUCCCUGGGGCUGGUCUGGGAUGCACUGUCUCCAUGAGAG
rnacentral:tRNA from 1 species